rnacentral:rRNA from 1 species
ACGGCUCAGUAACACGUGGACAACCUACCCUUAGGACGGGGAUAAACCCGGGAAACUGGGUAUAAUACCCGAUAGUCCUCGAAUGCUGGAAUGCAUCGAGUACUAAAGCUCCGGCGCCUAAGGAUGGGUCUGCGGCCUAUCAGGUAGUAGUGGGUGUAGCGUACCUACUAGCCUACGACGGGUACGGGUUGUGAGAGCAAGAGCCCGGAGAUGGAUUCUGAGACACGAAUCCAGGCCCUACGGGGUGCAGCAGGCGCGAAAACUUUACAAUGCUGGAAACAGCGAUAAGGGGACCUCGAGUGCCAGGUUACAAAUCUGGCUGUCGUGAUGCCUAAAAAGCAUUGCAUAGCAAGGGCCGGGCAAGACCGGUGCCAGCCGCCGCGGUAACACCGGCGGCUCGAGUGGUAACCGUUAUUAUUGGGUCUAAAGGGUCUGUAGCCGGCCGGAUAAGUCUCUUGGGAAAUCUGGCAGCUUAACUGUCAGGCUUUCAGGAGAUACUGUCUGGCUCGAGGCCGGGAGAGGUGAGAGGUACUUCAGGGGUAGGGGUGAAAUCUUGUAAUCCUUGAAGGACCACCAGUGGCGAAGGCGUCUCACCAGAACGGACCUGACGGCAAGGGACGAAAGCUAGGGGCACGAACCGGAUUAGAUACCCGGGUAGUCCUAGCCGUAAACGAUACUCGCUAGGUGUCGGCCACGGUGCGACCGUUGUCGGUGCCGUAGGGAAGCCGUGAAGCGAGCCACCUGGAAGUACG